GUGAUGAUACCUAUUUAUAAAUUUAUACGGUUAGAACCUGAGUUCUUGUGAAGAUUUUACUAGGGCGGACUGAUGAA